CUAAGUGGUUGCUGCCCUUGACUACUAUGAAGACUGGUGUGGGAAGGGUCGCUUUGGAUGCACUUGAGCAGGGGUCCCCAAUCCCUGAGCCAUGGAGCCGUAAGGAGCCACACAGCAGGUGGGACCAUCCAGUUUCAGGAAAACAAGCUGAACACGCCCACUGAUUCUACAUUAUGCUCCUACCUCCCGGCAGCCUCGCCAGGCCCAGAACUCUCUCCAGUCAGCCUCUACAGACCAAGCUCAUGACUCACAAUGGCCUAUUGAGGCCCAUACCCUACCUCACGGCAGUCUCCGCAGAUGAGCCUACUGCCUCACAACAGCCUCCACAGGCACAGCUCCAUCGUUACAAUGGCCUCUUUAGACCCAGCUCCUGCCGCCCAGCCUUCUCUCCAGGCCCUGAACUUUCUCCGUGGGACCAUCCAGUUUCAGGAAAACAAGCUUAACACGCCCACUGAUUCUACAUUAUGCUCCUACCUCCCGGCAGCCUCGCCAGGCCCAGAACUCUCUCCAGUCAGCCUCUACAGACCAAGCUCAUGACUCACAAUGGCCUAUUGAGGCCCAUACCCUACCUCACGGCAGUCUCCGCAGAUGAGCCUACUGCCUCACAACAGCCUCCACAGGCACAGCUCCAUCGUUACAAUGGCCUCUUUAGACCCAGCUCCUGCCGCCCAGCCUUCUCUCCAGGCCCUGAACUUUCUCCGUGGGACCAUCCAGUUUCAGGAAAACAAGCUGAACACGCCCACUGAUUCUACAUUAUGCUCCUACCUCCCGGCAGCCUCGCCAGGCCCAGAACUCUCUCCAGUCAGCCUCUACAGACCAAGCUCAUGACUCACAAUGGCCUAUUGAGGCCCAUACCCUACCUCACGGCAGUCUCCGCAGAUGAGCCUACUGCCUCACAACAGCCUCCACAGGCACAGCUCCAUCGUUACAAUGGCCUCUUUAGACCCAGCUCCUGCCGCCCAGCCUUCUCUCCAGGCCCUGAACUUUCUCCGUGGGACCAUCCAGUUUCAGGAAAACAAGCUUAACACGCCCACUGAUUCUACAUUAUGCUCCUACCUCCCGGCAGCCUCGCCAGGCCCAGAACUCUCUCCAGUCAGCCUCUACAGACCAAGCUCAUGACUCACAAUGGCCUAUUGAGGCCCAUACCCUACCUCACGGCAGUCUCCGCAGAUGAGCCUACUGCCUCACAGCAGCCUCCACAGGCACAGCUCCAUCGUUACAAUGGCCUCUUUAGACCCAGCUCCUGCCGCCCAGCCUUCUCUCCAGGCCCUGAACUUUCUCCGUAAGUUGAGGUAGCUGGG